rnacentral:tRNA from 2 species
GGUCACAUAGCUCAGCGGUAGAGCACUACGUUGACAUCGUAGGGGUCACAGGUUCAAUCCCUGUUGUGACCACCA